UGCACAUUUAGGUGUUAAAAAGAAAGAAAGCAUAAAACUGCAAAGUCUGGCCAAAAUAGGUACUUGUCAUGCAUUGGUAAUAAAAAAUGUAAACUCCAUAAUAAGAUGCAGAAGUGAUUAUUCUGCGUUGAGGUAAAGUUAUCUUUUGUGAUUUUACUAAUUCUGAUCAUAUUUUACUACUAUAAGUUAUAGGAUGUCAGGAACUGGGGAUACCUCAGGAUAGAGCUGUUUGUGGAAGUGACAAGUUGACCGAGGUUGCAAAAUGUGCAAGCUGCUUCCUCCCCAGAAGGUUUGUUACCCAACAAACCUGCACCAACAGUGUCUCUACCUCCUUCCUUGCCUUUUGGAACCCUGAAGAAAUGAGUGUAGUGUAACUCUUAACACCUCUUACACGUGAAAACUCAAGCUUCAGACAAGCUGUUUAGAAAUAAGAUUUGAAAAUAAUGAGAGGGGAGAGUUAUGCUAACUUCUUUUCUUAGCUGAAGCUUACAGUAAUGUGGCUAAUUUGCAUUGAAUGGAUUGCUGCAAUACUUUGUGAAACAUGAUUUCACCAAAUGGGUGAAUGUCAGUUAUUCGAUUCUGUCUUAAGAAACUGCUCUGUGAUCAGUUAAAAUAAGUUUAUUUUCCUUGUAUGUGUAGGAUUUUAUUUUUGCAAUUGUAACACUGUUUUCAUGAUUUCAUGUUUUGUUGAUCAUGUAAAAGCUAGUUAAUUUGCUGAAGUGCUCUAAACAUUAACAAAGCUUAAAAAGGAGUAAAAUUCACUUUGCAGGUAGUUGUUGGUUUGAAAAGUGAGAAUGGUAUAUGGUUUUGGUAGUCAGGGAAUCCUCUGUGGCCUGCCUUGCUGCAGCAAGACAGUAGGCUCAGUUCAGAUGAUUGUUCCUUUCUUGUCUAUAAUCACCAGGCCUCCCCAAAGGUGCUGCAGCCAAUCUUUUUGGAAAGGAGCAGACAGAUAACCAGUUAGUUAUUGUUAGUAGUUGCCUUGAUCCAGUAGAUAGUAAGUGUUAGAAUUAAAUAUAGUGUUUGCUGUUGGUCAUCUGAGGAUUUAAUAAUUAUAAUUUAACAGAAUGUGUGUAUUGUUUGAUCUAAUAGAAUCUUGGUGUCAAAACUUCCAAAUUAUUUUAGUGAACCAUUCUAGGACAGUAUAAAGAUACAUAAAAUAUGUAUCAAAAUACGAAGUUGCUUGAGAGACACUCCUUCAGUUCCAAUACUGUCUAACAUAAUAUGCUCUCUAAAAAUUACAAAUUACAUAAUUGCCUUGGGACUCUGAGCACUGUCCUACUUGAGAACUAUUAAUGUUUCUUGUAAGAAAAUAUAAUCUGUUUUGUUAAUGAAAGCCCUAAGUGUAGAAAUUUGCAUAUGUGAUUCCAGCUUUUUUCCUAAUACACAAAGUGUUUCUAUUUGAAUAUAUUUCUAAGUCUCAUGUCUUGUGCUAUACCACUGGCUUUUAUUAAAAAGUACUUACUUCUAGUCUGUGGCAGAUUCUGCAAGAUUGAACUGCUGGAGUGGGUCCAGAGGAGGGCCAUAAAGGUGAUAAUGGGGCUGGUGCACCUCUUCUGUGGGGACAGGCUGCGAGAGUCAAGGCUUUUCAGCCUGGAGAAAAGAAGGCUCUGGGGAGACCUUAUAACAGCUUUCCAGUAGCUGAAGUGGGGAGGUCUAAGGAAAGUGACUUCUAAAAAAGUGCUUGUAGUGAUAGGAUGAGAAGGAAUGGACUGAAGCUUGAGGAGGGCCGAUUUAGACUAGAUAUUAGUAAGAAAUUCUUUGCAGUAAGGGUGGUGAGACUUGGAACAGGUUGCCUAGGGAGGUGUGGAUACUGCAGAACUACUGCAGAACUACUGCAGAACAUGGUAAUUAUGAAAAAAUAUGCCAUGGUCCUUUUACUGUGAUUUGAAAAUUCUUUAGCUAAUCACCUGUGUUUAGUAUGAAGUGAUAAUCAUAUUGUUUAAGUAGAAUCUGCUUAAUGAAGGCCCAUGUGUACUUACAUCAAAAAGGGAGAAAAAGGGUUUGGCAUUUAACUUUAAUCUUUAGAAGAAAUGACAUUUUGAAAGCUACUCUGCUUCCGGAAUGUGUGCAUUUUUAUUAGGAAGAGCUUCAUUAUUCAGUGGUUGGCAUAAGAGAUUGGUUGUAUGUUCUCUCAUCACUUUUAAGUUCCUGGGGAAUAGCAGAUUGGAUGAUAGGUUGUGUUUUUUCCAAGCAAACUUUUAAAAUAAUGUUUAAUGAAACAAUCUAGGCUGACACUUCCUGCUCUUCGGAAGAGCAUUAAGUGAAGUCAUCUAAGAAUGCAACCGCACAAAGUAGGUGGUAAGCAAUAUCUGUUGUUUUAAGCCUUUGGUUGGAAAAGCACUGUAGCAGUUUUGUUGACAUUUUGAAUUUCACAAGUAUCUGUGCUACUUUAGCACUUGAUAUGUGGUAAUUUAGAGCUUUUGCAUUUAUUCUAAAUAUGUAUUGUCUAAAGCUGAAGAGCAUGACCGAGUUUAAUUUCCAUCAUAAGCUAUAGUAGACAGGAUGUGUCCCGGGUUUAGGUUGAUCCCUCCCCCAGGAAGAAAAUUCACAACACAAACCCCCCUUCUUUUUUGAAAGUCAGGGAAAGAUGAAAUUGUAUUUUCUUAUAGUAUAAGUAUAACAAUGUAAAGAGAGAUAAUAACUAGAGAAGGAAGGAAGGGAAAAAAAACAAUACAGUAACCUUAAGGGAGAUGGGGAAGGGGUCAAGCAGCGGCGAAGCAGCAGAAGCAGCAGUAGCCAAAACAGCAGCCGGGGAAGAUAGGCAAAGCUGAAGCAGCCGAAGCCAGCGGGAGAAGGGGGAGAACAAACUGUGCUUCUAGACAUUAAGUUCUUGAUGCUCCAAUUAAAUUGUAUUAAUUUAUCUAUUGUUGCCAUUUAUGUGGCCUAUCCCUGGAAUGUUCAUCUCUCCCCUAUGUAUGAGCUAGAGGAUCAGCUCAAACGGCCACAGGAUGGUAACCAGAAACAUUAAGACCUUUUCUUCUUUUUUCCUUUUUUCAAUUGUGCAUGCUGAUUUGUUUGUCUCUGACGUGGUUUUGCUGUGGGGAUCUUAAGAAAAUUAUGAACCACUUGUUUCUGUAACAUUGUACAUUCUACAAUGACUUGAUUGACCCUCCGUAGGAAGAAAAUUCUGUACAGAGAGAGAGAGCAAGAUCUGAAAGUAGACUAUGCUUUAUUUUCCAGAUUUACAUUAAGUUGAUCAAUAAUGUCCUUAAAUAUGGAAAGGAGAAGCAACAAAGCUAAAUGUUUUAAUAGCUGCUUUGUGAUGUCAGUAGCAGGUGAUAUAUUUCAGAUAAUAAUGUAUUUUAGUAGAUAAACAUUGAAUUUUUUUCCAUCAAGUUGAGGCUUUUUAUCUUGGUGAAAGCUCUUACGUGCCAUAUUUUUUCUUUGUGUAUAGGUGCUAAUGGGCUGCAGUGAAAUGGGAAGAAGUAAUUUAGUAAAGAGUUUCACAGAGAGAAUAAUACAAGUGACUCUCUGUGACUCAAAACAAGAUAUCCAAACCUAUUUUGCAGUAUUGCUGCUAUUACUCUAAAAGGGGCUAGAGGAAAAAUGGCAAAUAUAGAAGUUGGCUUGUAAUGCAAAAAAUCCAGUCAUAAACUGCGCUAGCGUAGAAUUGUAUUUUGUUUUCUCACAUUACUGUGAAGGAUGGCAAAUACAUAAUUUUUCUGCCAAAUUUUGUCAGGAAAUUUUAAAGGCUUUGUUUUUAAGGGAGUUUUGAAGUCUUUCUGGUACAUAGGUGACAGAGGUCUAGUAUUUGUUAGCGCUUGUCUCAGGCAUUUAAUUCUGUAUCAGCCUUACCUCUCUUAAUCCUAUAGCAAGAUAGGUUUCUGGAAAUCCCAAGUAAUGCAGGAAUAAGCGUUGCCAGUUGUCAAAUUACUGCCAUGCUGAGGAAGAUGAAGGUAAAUGGUGUACUGAGGGGAUUGAUUAUCAGAUGUGUAAAAUUUCUCAUUGCUCAAUAUAAACGCAGAAACUACAUAAAGUCCUUUGUCCGAUGAGACUAGACAUGCAGUGAAAUGUCCCUUCCUGCUUUAUAUUAGCAGUUAAGGUAAGGGAGUUUAACACCAUUCAUCUAGUCUGACCUCUUAUGAAGGUUCUGGUUUCAAGCUAGAGAAAGGCAUUGGCUCUUGAAAAGGGUAUAAGCUGUAACCUAUGUCUUUUCAAUAGUAUGUUUCAAUAGGUAGUAAUCCCUCUUUUAAAAAAGUGCAUGUCUGUCUUGUGACUUCACCUUCCACUUACUGGAGAAAGGGAGGGGAUGGCUCCACAAAAAAAAGGUUAGUAGUAUCCUAUUUUUCCCUGGUGGCAAUGUGUUUAAAACUGGGAGUUAAAAAAGCAUACUCAGUAUUUUUUAAUGAAAUGCCUGGAUUAACUUCUUGAAAACUUGCAUUGUGCCUGUCUUCCUCAGUCCCCUCACAAACUUAUACUCAUCUUUUAAGGACAUAAAACUCCCCCCCCCCCCUUUCUCUGUGUGCUGUCGAUUGUGCUUCCAAAAUUCCUGUCAUAUUUUAUCACAGUGUUAAGUUGGAUUCUCAUGUUCAAUUCCUUUUCUGUUAUGACCCUGAUGCACUUCCAGUGUCAGUAAGGUUUCCAGUCUGCUGUUUUCCCAGUGUUCAGGGUAUGGCUUUGUAGUCUUUUCCUGGGUGUAUAACCAGAGAUGUGGCUAUUAAACUGUUGAACAGUAUGCUUUGUCAGCUAUUUCAGAACUCUUAGGUGAUGGCUCAGUUCUUUUGUUCACCAUAGUGCCAGCUAUUGUGCUGUCCACAAAUACAGGCUUCCACAUCUUUGAGGAAAAUGUUGAAUAGUCUUAAACCUGGUAAAGGUCCUACAGCAGCUCUCCAAGUACCUCUACUCAAUUAGAAUUCCUCUCAGACAAUUAGUCUUCAAGGUUUGUUACUUAAGUUUUCUUCACCUAAUAAAUCUAUAACAGACAAAAAUUAAAAACCUUCCUGCCCUGCUGGCUUUUCUGUUUUUUAUUUUCCCAGAGUGACUAGGAAUGCUCUGUUUGUAUGAACAUAGUGGUUCUGCACAUCCUCCUUCAACACUGGUGCAGUAUCAGCUCUCUCUAGUCCAUUGGGUAUUAGGGCUACUUUGAUUGAGUGAGUAUCAGUAGUAAACAUCCUUCUUUCAGGAUCCUUGGUGGGGAUUUGGCCAAGCCCACUUCAAAGUUUGCAUUAUGGUUGAUGAUGAAAAUUCUUGUCACCUAUAAAUACAUGACAGUGUUUUGUGCUUCUUAAUGCUGUCAAGCUCUGAAAGAUGCUGGUGACAGAGCCUGUUCGCCUUCUAGCCUGUUCAGGCUAUUCAAUGUAUUUAGGAUAGGAUCUCUUUAAGCUUGCAUAGUAUGCAGAGGAACUCCUUUUUUGUUUUCUUUUUGUUUAAAAACAUGGCAUGAUUCAUUAGUUUUCUGCUAAGCUAUGACCAAAAGUAAAUGUUAAAAAUCACAUUUGACUAAACAUUGAAAAUAAACUCUCCUCUCUAA